UUAAGUUCAGCGGGUAUUCCUACCUGAUCCGAGGUCAACCUUGAUAAAAUAUGACGGGGAGACGGCCCCCGCGAGCCCACUCUGAUGCGUGCUUUGGAAGAAGCUCAUUGCACCGAGGGUCCCACGGACGCCGUCAUUGUCUUUGAGACCGGUCCGCCGGAGCGGCGACCUGAGGUCCAACAACAAGCCAGGCUUGAGGG
rnacentral:misc_RNA from 1 species